rnacentral:rRNA from 1 species
CAGUAGCCGCGGUAAUACGUAGGGUGCAAGCGUUAAUCGGAAUUACUGGGCGUAAAGCGUGCGCAGGCGGUUUGUUAAGACAGAUGUGAAAUCCCCGGGCUCAACCUGGGAACUGCAUUUGUGACUGGCAGGCUAGAGUAUGGCAGAGGGGGGUGGAAUUCCGCGUGUAGCAGUGAAAUGCGUAGAUAUGCGGAGGAACACCGAUGGCGAAGGCAGCCCCCUGGGCCAAUACUGACGCUCAUGCACGAAAGCGUGGGGAGCAAACAGGAUUAGAUACCCCAGUAGUCCCUGUCUCUUACAC